UCAUCUCCUACUGCCAUACCACCCCCAUCCUCCUCUGAUGUCAUGGGCAAACAUCAUAAAGCAGAAGGCAUUAUCAUUUGCGCAGUCUUUGUAUAUGCAGACUUUCCAUCUAACUGCACACCAGAUUGGCCAGUGAAAAUGAAACCAAACGUACCAUAAGAUUUCAUGGAAACAAAUGAGAGGAGGAUGAUCUACUUUACACUUACUACUGCAAAUAACUGACUGUAUUGCACUGUACAGCUGACUGUACAGCUCCUUGGUGAAUAACACAGACAUAUGAGUUGAUUCAUCCUCACACACAGAAAUAUUUUCUCAUCUGAUGGAAUAUGUCAUCAUAUGUUCAAAGAUGGCAAUGGAAUGUGAAAUGAGAGAAAUAUGAAACAAACAAAAAGACUGAUGCAGAUAAUUCACAUGGCAGUAUUCGGGGAAGGAAAGAAAAGAAGAGAUGGUCAUGAUGUGGGAAGAUGUAAGAGGCACAGGAACACACAACAGAUAUUCAUAAGAAAUUGCUGCUUAUGGAAUUGCUUGCUUGUUGUUAACCUUCUUGUCAGUACCUUAUUUUUACGAGGGCAUUAUAAUGCAAUUCAUCUGAGACCUUGCUUCUCUACUGCCAUGGUACCACCCCCAAAGAUGUCACAUUUUCUGUAUCUGAUACAUAGGAUUUGGUUUCAUUUCUUCUUAGUA
rnacentral:lncRNA from 1 species